CCAAUCUCAUCUUCUUCUUCUCUUUACUUUCUUCCUCCCCCUCAGAUCGUGAUUCCAAUUUUCAAUACUAAAUCUCCGGCAAAUUAAACCCAGAGCGACCGGAAGUUACAAGAACCAAACUUCACUCUAAAGUUUCGCCCUUUUUCGUGUCUCUCUAUACCCUUCCUUCGAUUCUGUUUUCUUUCAUACCCUAAUAGAUCAGAAACCCUAGAAACCGUAUAAAUUCCGGUCAUUGAUGUACGCCUACGACAACCGAUACGCCGACGCAGGCUCCUACCGCGAGCGCCGAAGUGACCUAAUGGGUCCAGCGCCUGCGGCGGCAGCGCCACCGAUCUACGGCCGUGGCGGUGGGGUAGCCCCGUACAGGGGCUCAGCGCCUCCGGUGUCUCCUUAUGGAGGAGGAGGGGCUGGACCGGUAGGAGCUCCGGGAGAUAGGAAUGGAUACCCUCCUUUCCAGCCCCCGGCGGGUCGGUUCAGUAUGGGCCGAGACGGCGGUGGUAGUUUUGGCGGGAGAGGCCGUGGCGGCGGCGGUAGGGGUUUUGAUGGUGCCCGUGGGGGUGGUAGAAGCUCCGGUUAUAGUCGGGGUGGUGGAAGUUCGGGUUACGGGGGCGGGCGUGGAGGCGGUGGUAGACACGGUGGUGGGUCAUCAAGAGGUGACUUGGAUGGCAUUGUUCUCCCCAAGCAGGAUUUUGGGAGCUUAGUUCCUUUUGAGAAGAAUUUCUACAUUGAGAGCCCUUCGGUGAAGGCAAUGUCAGAGCAUGAAGUUUUGGCCUAUAGAGCUAGGAGGGAGAUUACGGUUGAUGGGCAUGAUGUCCCGAAGCCAAUUCAGACGUUUCGGGAUGCAAGUUUCCCUGGUUACUGUCUCGACGUGAUUGCCAAGUUGGGUUUUGUUGAACCAACACCAAUUCAGGCUCAAGGAUGGCCAAUGGCACUAAAGGGUAGAGAUUUAGUUGGAAUUGCUGAGACUGGUUCCGGGAAAACCCUUUCUUAUCUGCUGCCAGCUCUGGUACAUAUUAGUGCUCAGCCUCGAUUAGCUCAAGGUGAUGGUCCUAUUGCGUUAGUAUUAGCACCUACUCGAGAAUUGGCAGUUCAAAUUCAAGAAGAAGCUGUAAAAUUUUGUUCACAAAAUUAUAUUAGGAGUACUUGCAUUUAUGGUGGUGCUCCAAAAGGAUCCCAAAUACGCGAUCUUAGAAGAGGGGUUGAGAUUGUGAUAGCUACACCUGGCAGACUAAUAGAUAUGUUGGAAGCUCAGCACACAAGUUUGCGAAGAGUGACUUACCUAGUUUUGGAUGAGGCUGAUAGGAUGUUGGACAUGGGAUUUGAGCCGCAGAUAAGGAAAAUUGUAUCUCAAACCCGACCAGAUCGGCAGACAUUGUAUUGGAGUGCCACAUGGCCAAGGGAGGUCGAAUCCUUAGCAAGGCAGUUUUUACGUAACCCCUAUAAGGUAAUUAUUGGAUCAGCAAGUUUGAAAGCAAACCAAUCCAUAAAGCAAGUUGUUGAAGUUGUGUCUGAGUUCGACAAAUAUAAUAGGCUGCUCAAAUUGCUAAAAGACUCGAUCGUUGGGAGCCGAAUUCUGAUAUUUGUGGAGACGAAAAAGGGUUGUGACCAUGUCACUAAGCAAUUAAGGAUGGAUGGAUGGCCAGCUCUGUCCAUUCAUGGUGAUAAAAACCAGGCUGAAAGAGAUUGGGUCUUGGCUGAGUUUAAAAGUGGCAGAUCUCCUAUAAUGACUGCCACUGAUGUGGCUGCACGGGGUCUUGGUAGGAUUACUUUAUGCUAGGAGUCUUAGGUGUCUUACAAAUUUGGGUCUUGAUUCAAAGGUUGCGAGUCGGCCGGCUGCUUUCCAGUUCCUGAAAAUGUAAUUUGUGGUUUGGGUGCGAAGGCAGGUGCCAUCAUAUCUGAUGAUCGGGACUUCCUACUAUUUUGCUAUCCUUUAAGCACCAUGCUAUCUACUUCAGCAGGGGCAUAAGUUGGAUUGAGGAGCAAUAUUGGUUUCUCUUAUUUGUACAAUGUCCCCUAUGAUAGAUAACACUGUGGGCACUACCUUAUUCUGAAAGCUCAUGUUACAUGGACACCAAGAGCAAAGUUUCACUGGAAUACGAAACUUCCUAAAAUUGGUUUGGGUGCUGUGCCAUUACAUCAUUAUGCAAGCAUGUAUCUUUUAUUAGUCAAGAAAGUUAUGUGAAAGGAUCACUUUUUUGUACUAGAGGGACUGAAAUGGCAUGGCUGCUCCUUUGAAGUGUCUACGUAACAUGUUGAAGUUGUCGCUGCCCAUCCACGGUUAUGGAGCUGGUUACCCUCGCAGCCCGGUUGACUCACAUGCUUAUUCAUUUGAUUGGAUAUGGGAAGUGGUUGUGGUGAAGCUGCUCCUUAUCCCUGCUAGGUUAAGAUGUGAAGGACAUAAAAUGCGUGAUCAAUUAUGAUUUUCCAUCAAGCCUUGAGGAUUAUGUCCACAGGAUUGGACGAACGGGACGUGCAGGGGCAACAGGAACUGCUUUGACCUUUUUCACAGAGUCAAAUGGUAAAUU